rnacentral:sRNA from 1 species
AUAUAAUAAGUAAAUUAAUAGUGCCCCAGAUUAAAUAUUUUUCUAGAUCCGCCACUGGAUUGUACCAUGGAAGCGUCUGAUGGAGUUGUCUUAAUU